rnacentral:rRNA from 1 species
UUGACCUCGGAUCAGGUAGGGAUACCCGCUGAACUUAAGCAUAUCAAUAAGCGGAGGAAAAGAAACCAACAGGGAUUGCCCCAGUAACGGCGAGUGAAGCGGCAAGAGCUCAAAUUUGAAAGCUGGCCCCCUCGGGGUCCGCAUUGUAAUUUGCAGAGGAUGCUUCGGAGGCAGCCCCCGUCUAAGUACCCUGGAACGGGUCGUCAUAGAGGGUGAGAAUCCCGUACGGGACGGGGUGUCUGCCACCGUGUGAAGCUCCUUCGACGAGUCGAGUUGUUUGGGAAUGCAGCUCUAAAUGGGUGGUAAAUUUCAUCUAAAGCUAAAUAUUGGCCGGAGACCGAUAGCGCACAAGUAGAGUGAUCGAAAGAUGAAAAGCACUUUGAAAAGAGAGUUAAAAAGCACGUGAAAUUGUUGAAAGGGAAGCGCUUGCGACCAGACUCGCCCACGGGGUUCAGCCGGCAUUCGUGCCGGUGUACUUCCCCGCGGGCGGGCCAGCGUCGGUUUGGGCGGCCGGUCAAAGGCCCUCGGAAUGUAACGCCCCCCGGGGCGUCUUAUAGCCGAGGGUGCCAUGCGGCCUGCCCGGACCGAGGAACGCGCUUCGGCUCGGACGCUGGCAUAAUGGUCGUAAGCGACC